GUCCACGGCCAUACCACCCUGAAUGGGCCCGAUCUUAUCCGAUCUCAGAAGCUAAGCAAGGUCAAGCCUGGUUGAUGGGAGACUGCCUGGGAACACCAGGUACUGUAGGCU
ensembl:rRNA 5S_rRNA 5S ribosomal RNA